rfam:Nitrospirae bacterium GWC2_57_13 gwc2_scaffold_965, whole genome shotgun sequence.
GAAAGCCGUAUGAGGGAAAACCUCACGUACGGUUUGACGAGAAGGCGCUGGAGAUAGGGUAUGGUUGAGAUAAUGUGACACUCUCAGAGGAAACGGAGAGAAACGGUGAACACAAACGUCAACCUGCAGCCACUACGCCAGUGCUUUACUCUAC